CUGGGAACGAGUGAUAUCAAAAUUAAAAACAAAAAAAUGAAAUACGAUCAAAUAUAUCGAUUUAUAAUACAAUGGCAUUUGUUUUAAACAACGGAAUGUCGUGGUAGCAACUCGUAUUCUUCAUCUACGAGGUUUAUGAAAGUAAAGUUGCCGUUUAAAAUUUGUUAUCGCUGAAAACAUUCGGUAGACAGUUCGACUGAAUUUCAUCAUGUCUCUAAAAAGACUGUUAAGGUGAG